CAGCAGCCGCGGUAAUACGUAGGGUGCAAGCGUUAAUCGGAAUUACUGGGCGUAAAGCGUGCGCAGGCGGUUAUAUAAGACAGAUGUGAAAUCCCCGGGCUCAACCUGGGAACUGCAUUUGUGACUGUAUAGCUAGAGUACGGCAGAGGGGGAUGGAAUUCCGCGUGUAGCAGUGAAAUGCGUAGAUAUGCGGAGGAACACCGAUGGCGAAGGCAAUCCCCUGGGCCUGUACUGACGCGCAUGCACGAAAGCGUGGGGAGCAAACAGGAUUAGAUACCCCAGUAGUCCCUGUCUCUUAUAU
rnacentral:rRNA from 1 species